CAGGUGCUGCUCUUCACGUGUGUGGCCCUUUUCCAGUGGCCGAUAAGCACAUCCGAGGGAGCUGGCUCUGACAGGGUCCUGGCCUUGUUAUCUGGCGCCCACCUGAAUAUUCAGGCUCUCGGGAAAUUCACGCCACCACGGUUGCUGCGGGCCUGCC
rnacentral:sRNA from 1 species